UACGGAGGGGGCGAGCGUUAUUCGGAAUUAUUGGGCGUAAAGGGCGCGUAGGCGGCCUUGUAAGUCAAAGGUGAAAUCCCUCGGCUCAACUGAGGAACUGCCUUUGAAACUGCAAGGCUUGAGGCCGGGAGGGGGUAGCGGAAUUCCCAAUGUAGCGGUGAAAUGCGUAGAUAUUGGGAGGAACACCAGUGGCGAAGGCGGCUACCUGGACCGGUUAUGACGCUGAGGCGCGAAAGCGUGGGUAGCAAACAGG
rnacentral:rRNA from 1 species